AGCCUAGCUUUGACUCUUAGAAUUUAGGUAGUUUUAGUUACAUACUUGCUUGAAAGGGGUUGGGUGUGUAGAGGAAUGAAACCCUAAAAUGGUUUCCUUCAUAAACAGUUUGUAACUGUUACUGUAGCAUCAACUUCAAUUUAAGCUUACAGAGUUGAAAUUAAGAAAUGUAACUUCUUGUUACAGGUCAUCCCUAGAGAAAAAAUUGAUGAACUGCUGUCUGUCUGCUGGAGUGGUUCAUUUGAGAAACUGGAAACACUGGCAAAGAAUCUCGUAAAUGAUGGGUAUGCUGUUGCUCAGCUUGUAAACCAGCUGCAUGAUGCUGUUGUUGAGAGUGAAAAUUACAGUGACAAGCAGAAAUCUGUCAUAGUCGAGAAACUUGCGGAAGUAGACAAAUGCUUGGCUGAUGGUGCUGAUGAAUACUUGCAGCUGAUGAGUCUCUGUGCUUUGGUGAUGCAGCAGCUAACACAGAACACUUAAUGACUUCUGCAGCAUGGAACAGCUUUUUUUCACAGGGGGCCAAGGUUCUGAGAGCAAGGUUCUGGGUGCUUUUGUAGUGGGGGGUUUUUUGGCAAUAAAAGGGCUGCUCAGCAGUUGGAAAAGA